CAAGAAACAAUACUACAGAGAUGACGA
rnacentral:piRNA from 1 species